rnacentral:rRNA from 1 species
GAUGAACGCUGGCGGCGUGCCUAAUACAUGCAAGUCGAGCGAAUGGAUUAAGAGCUUGCUCUUAUGAAGUUAGCGGCGGACGGGUGAGUAACACGUGGGUAACCUGCCCAUAAGACUGGGAUAACUCCGGGAAACCGGGGCUAAUACCGGAUAACAUUUUGAACCGCAUGGUUCGAAAUUGAAAGGCGGCUUCGGCUGUCACUUAUGGAUGGACCCGCGUCGCAUUAGCUAGUUGGUGAGGUAACGGCUCACCAAGGCAACGAUGCGUAGCCGACCUGAGAGGGUGAUCGGCCACACUGGGACUGAGACACGGCACAGACUCCUACGGGAGGUAGCAGUAGGGAAUCUUCCGCAAUGGGCGAAAGUCUGACGGAGCAACGCCGCGUGAGUGAUGAAGGCUUUCGGGUCGUAAAACUCUGUUGUUAGGGAAGAACAAGUGCCAGUUGAAUAAGCUGGCACCUUGACGGUACCUAACCAGAAAGCCACGGCUAACUACGUGCCAGCAGCCGCCGUAA